UGGGGAAUAUUGCACAAUGGGCGAAAGCCUGAUGCAGCAACGCCGCGUGAGUGAUGAAGGUCUUCGGAUUGUAAAGCUCUGUCUUUUGGGACGAUAAUGACGGUACCAAAGGAGGAAGCCACGGCUAACUACGUGCCAGCAGCCGCGGUAAUACGUAGGUGGCGAGCGUUGUCCGGAUUUACUGGGCGUAAAGGGUGCGUAGGCGGAUGUUUAAGUGAGAUGUGAAAUACCCGGGCUUAACUUGGGUGCUGCAUUUCAAACUGGAUAUCUAGAGUGCAGGAGAGGAGAAUGGAAUUCCUAGUGUAGCGGUGAAAUGCGUAGAGAUUAGGAAGAACACCAGUGGCGAAGGCGAUUCUCUGGACCGUAACUGACGCUGAGGCACGAAAGCGUGGGUAGCAAACAGGAUUAGAUACCCUGGUAGUCCACGCCGUAAACGAUGAGUACUAGGUGUAGGAGGUAUCGACCCCUUCUGUGCCGCAGUAAACACAUUAAGUACUCCGCCUGGGAAGUACGAUCGCAAGAUUAAAACUCUAAAGUGAAUUGAC
rnacentral:rRNA from 1 species